ACCAACAAACAAGAAAGCUUGGAAGCAGGUUCUUCGGCCCCGGUCAAACCUCGACCGUAGCCCCAGGCGAUAGCUUAAAGGUAACCUCAGGAGAGACCUGAGAGCCAGAACAAGCCCUUGAAGAUGCUUCUGGAUUCCCCACCCACAGAAACUGUACAUAAUAAAUGGGUUUGCUUUAAGCUGAUAAGUGUGAAGGUCAAGAUAAUUGCCACGUCCUGGGGACACUCAGGCAGCCCUGUGGGAGAAGCAACUUGCUUUCCACCACGUGAGAGAGCCACCUUGUGUCCUCUGGCUUCAGUCAAGCCUUCAAUGAUUCCAUCCCUCCCACCUUGAUGUGGUCCUGCUGAAGUCCCACGCAUUGCCGGGCAGAGACUAGCCAAGCCAACGGUGCCCUCUCCAAAUUCCUGAGCCACAGAAACCAUGAGACAGGCUCAUCCUCUUUGUCUCCCACAUCCCUCCAGCAGCUUCUUCCAAGAAGAUACAGAUGCAAGCGAGCCUAGUCCCCAGUAAUGGAAGCAAGUGGAGAAAGGAAGCAUUUGAGGUGUGUUGAAGCAUAGGCUCAGAAACAGAGUGCUGUCCCUCCUGCCACAUGCUACUGGCCAAAUUACGUCACAAGCACAAUUCAGAGUCAACAGCUAGAGAAACAGACUCUGCCUCUUCAUGGAGGAAUGACAACUUCUAGCCAUUUUGCAAAUACUCCAGCAAAGAUCACACCAUCAAAGAAGAGAAGAUCACCUCCCCUCUCCUUCUUUUUCACUUAAAAAUAAA